GCGCUAUGGAAAAUUGUUAGGGGGGGAUACACAGUGAUAAACGUAAUAGAUUCAAACAAUAAGGCUGAAACGGGAACUUGGUGGACUGACCGUUCACCGAGGACCGGGUCUGAGUGGCGCCGGUCCCGAAAUAGAUCAGACUCCUUUGGCACGGGAGGAAAACAUGGGAUAAACACGUAAGUUAUUUAUCUUAUUAUAGGGCAAGAGCGACAUAAUAGUGCGUAUGUUGCGUAGAGAAUAGCACUAUUUAAUUCAUAACCGCUCGAGUCUACUGUGUGAACAGUCCUAAUACAAGUCCAGUUGUAGCAGCGCGGCUUGGAAAGAAUAAUGAAAAAAAGAAAGAAAAUAAAAGUCCUGUAGCCUGUUUGCAGGAAAACAUGACGUGAGGGGUUGUUGACGGAAGACGUUAUACACACUUUAAAUCUGGAGUGUUUCAUCAUCGACAUGACAACAGACCCUGUAAUGCACACCUGCCUAAGUACAAUGGGACACUGACACGCCUGAUGGGAUGUUACUGUUGACACCAAGGCUGCUGGCUCCUGUCACCCGUUCUAAUAACCCCAGUGAAGGGAGGCCUCCUGCUGCUUACCUGCCAGAGGGACAGGAGAUAAAGUGCUUCCUCGCCUCUCAGAGCUUCUGAGGACCAGGUUUUUCUAUCUUGCACCACGGUCUACCCGGCUUGGACCAGGAGCGGGACUGGAUGCCAGAGGCAGACCCAGGAGAGGACACAGUAUCCUAUUGUGCAUUACAAAGAAGUCUACAGGGAGCUGCAGAGAUCUAUUUUUCCACAGUAUGAAUCAUAGACAGUUUUUGUUGGGGUUCAUGUCUGGUGCCCGUCUGCUGCCAUGCCCUUUCUUACAUUGCCAUCUUGGUUAUCUGAUGCAUCUCUGAUGUAAGGAAUUAAGCUGCUGUGUCCCUCUUAGAAUUUCUGGCCAUGACUCAAUGGUUCUCCUCAUGGGCGCCAGCAAAGAGUCUGCAUCUGCCGGAGUUUUUGGUUCCUCUUAUGGCUUUCAAUCUCUUUGGAAAGAGAUAUACUUCCAGAUUUUUACAAAUAUCUCAAAUGUAUCACUGUAUAGACCCAAAUUUGCUAUGUUUAUAUUGUCAGCAAAAUGUAGUUUAUGCAAAUAUUUCACUUCACACUGUGUGUGACAAAAUAAGCGGGUGUUCUGUUCCCCAUUAUAUAACCAAAAGUUGAAACGACAGUUGUUAAACAUUCUUUUAUUCAUUUUCCAGCAGACCUAAACUUGAGAGCAGUGUUCCAAACAAACUACAGAGGUUUACAUAGGCAAAAUGGAUUUCAGUGUGUGUCUAAGAAAUCAGUUCUCCCUAUCAAAUAUCCACGAGAAGAACAAAUAAUCGCCCUAAAGAGUUGGAAUUGUAUUACCUAUGUAAAUGCAGCCAGAAGGAAAACAAACAGCUUAUUCAAAUAACUGCCUGUGAAGUGUAGUUUUUUUUAUGCCUUUGUUGUCCUGGGUAACAGGCAUCUUCAUUACAAGGCAAUGCAUACUGCAUUAAGCAGUUUGGCAAGACACUGGAAAUCUGUCCAAUGGAAAAUUAAAUGAUUACACUUGCAUGUA